rnacentral:rRNA from 1 species
AACGAACGCUGGCGGCGUGGAUAAGACAUGCAAGUCGAGCGCGAUACUCACUGUAGCAAUACAGUGGGUGUUGAGCGGCGCAAGGGUGCGUAACACGUGGGUAAUUUGCCGUGAAGUUGGGGAUAACUCGCUGAAAGGCGAGCUAAUACCGAAUGUGGUUAUGGGGAGGCAUCUUCCGAUGACUGAAGCUGGGGAUCGCAAGACCUGGCGCUUCAUGAUAAGCCCGCGGCCUAUCAGCUAGUUGGUGAGGUAACGGCUCACCAAGGCGAAGACGGGUAGCUGGUCUGAGAGGACGACCAGCCACACUGGAACUGAGACACGGUCCAGACACCUACGGGUGGCAGCAGUCGAGAAUUUUUCUCAAUGGGCGCAAGCCUGAAGGAGCGACGCCGCGUGGGGGAUGAAGGGUUUCGAUCCGUAAACCCCUGUCAUUUGCGAACAAUGGCCAUUCAAUAACACUGGGUGGCUUGAUAGUAGCGG